AUACGUAGGGGGCGAGCGUUGUCCGGAAUGAUUGGGCGUAAAGGGCGCGUAGGCGGCCCGGUAAGUCUGGAGUGAAAGUCCUGUUUUUAAGAUGGGAAUUGCUUUGGAUACUGUCGGGCUUGAGUGCAGGAGAGGGAAGUGGAAUUCCCAGUGUAGCGGUGAAAUGCGUAGAGAUUGGGAGGAACACCAGUGGCGAAGGCGACUUACUGGACUGUAACUGACGCUGAGGCGCGAAAGUGUGGGGAGCAAUCAGGAUUAGAUACCCUGGUAGUCCACACUGUAAACGAUGAAUGCUAGGUGUAGGGGGUAUCGACCCCUUCUGUGCCGCAGUUAACACAAUAAGUAUUCCGCCUGGGGAGUACGGCCGCAAGGUUGAAACUCAAAGGAAUUGACGGGG
rnacentral:rRNA from 1 species